AGCGCUGGAAAUGCGAGACCGACAGCUGGUUUAUUUUUGGGUCAGUGACAGUGUGUCAAUGGCCGCAGAUGCGUCGGAAAGGAAGGCUCUGAGAUACCAACAGACCCUGCUGUAUGGGGAAUACCAUGAGCACCCGGGUGGGUCUGGCCGGAGAGAGGCCACCCGACUUCUAACAGAGAGACAAUGGAAGAAACACCACCAUCAUCACCAUCACCAUGGCCACCAUCCACAGCAUCACCGUGGCCACCAUCACCACGGGCACCACCAUGGCCACCACCAUGGUCACACACAUGGAUACGGGCACCACAGCAGGCACAGGGGUCGGCAUCACUCAGACGAGGUGGGACAUGCACAAAUGGCUACAGAGCAAGGCAACCCUUUGUCUAUAAAGAAACGUCGCUCCUACUCAAAGUGCAGAGACUGUGUAGCACGGGUACAGAGGUUCCUGGUCGCCAAGCUGGGAGAGGACUGGAUCUUUCUGGUGCUGCUGGGCAUCUCAAUGGCACUGGUCAGCUGGACCAUGGACUACACCAGUGCCAAAAGUCUACAAUUGUAUAAGUGGAUUCACUGGGAGCUGAGGGGUAAUGUCCUGCUCCAGUACCUGGCUUGGGUCAGCUAUCCCAUGGCGCUCAUCAUGUUCGCCUCCUUCUUCUGCCACCUGGUCGCCCCACAAGCCAUCGGCUCUGGUAUUCCUGAGCUGAAGACCAUUCUCAGAGGGGUCGUGUUGAAGGAGUAUCUGACUGUCAGGGCUUUUACUGCCAAGGUCAUUGGUCUGACUGCAGGUCUGGGCAGUGGGAUGCCAGUAGGGAAAGAGGGCCCAUUUGUUCAUAUCGCCAGCAUCUGUGCUGCUGUGCUGAGCAAGUGUAUGACGUUCUUCUCGGGAGUCCAUCAGAGCCCAUACUGCUACACAGACAUCCUUACAGUUGGCUGUGCGGUUGGGGUGGGUUGCUGUUUCGGUACCCCUCUUGGAGGGGUGCUGUUCAGUAUCGAGGUGACGUCCACUUACUUUGCUGUGAGGAACUACUGGAGAGGCUAUUUCGCCGCCACCUUCAGUGCCUUCAUAUUCAGAGUGCUCUCCGUGUUCAACAAAGAUGCAGUCACCAUCACUGCUCUCUUCCGCACCAAGUUCCGCAUGGACUUCCCCUUUGACCUCCAGGAGCUGCCUGCAUUUGCCAUCAUCGGGAUCUCCUGCGGCUUCCUGGGGGCCUUCUUCGUCUGGCUGAACCGCCAGGUGGUGCUGUUCAUGAGGAAACCCAACGCCAUGACACGCUUCCUCACCAGACACCGACUGAUUUUCCCCGGUGUUGUGACCUUAGUGAUAGCCAGCUUGACCUUUCCCCCUGGAUUUGGACAGUUCAUGGCUGGAGAGCUGAUGCCAAGAGAAUGCAUCAACUCCCUGUUUGACAACUUCACCUGGACCAAAAUCUGGGGCUCCCCCCCUCCCCCCAGCCUGGGGCGCUCCUCUGCCUGGCUGCACCCCGACGUCAGCGUCUUUGUCAUCCUCCUCCUCUUCUUCGUCAUGAAGUUUUGGAUGUCUGCUGUUUCGACCACGAUGCCCAUCCCUUCUGGAGCCUUCAUGCCUGUCUUCAUACUCGGUAAACAGAACCUCUUUUGCCUCGUGAGAUUCAUGGCUGCCCUCUUCCCCGAUGGGAUUCUGUUUGAUGGAAUCUUGUAUCGCAUCAUCCCAGGAGGGUACGCAGUCAUUGGAGCGGCGGCACUGACCGGGGCGGUGACCCACACGGUGUCCACGGCGGUUAUCUGCUUUGAGCUGACGGGCCAGAUCUCCCACAUCCUGCCCAUGAUGGUGGCCGUGAUCCUGGCUAACAUGGUGGCCCAGGGCCUGCAGCCCUCGCUCUACGACUCCAUCAUCCAGAUCAAGAAACUGCCUUACCUCCCUGAGCUGGGCUUUGGACACAUCAGCCAGUAUAACAUCUUUGUGGAGGACAUCAUGGUUAGGAAAGUGAAGUUUCUCUCAUUACAGUCCACCUACAGGGAGUUGAUACACCUCCUGGAUUCCACUUCUCUCAAAACGAUACCACUAGUGGAUUCAACAGACUCUAUGAUCCUUUUGGGCUCCAUCGAGCGGUCAGAGCUCCACGCUCUCUGUGAUUGGUGGCUCUCUGCAGAGAGGCGGAUCCUCAGGCAGGAACAGCGUUUGCAGGAACAGAACCAGUAUGCCAAAGACAGCUGGGAAUCCUUUGCCUUUGUGGAUGAAGAUGAUGAGGAGAGUGGAGAUAAGGUGUGUCAGAGAGACCAAGGGGAAAUGUUCAUAAGGAAUCAAAAACACACUCUUAGAAAAUCAAUCAAAUCAAAGUUGCGUUUCAGAGUGUUUUUAGCCAAUUACAGUGUUGCGUUUCUUGACAUUGUGUUUGAUUGGCUGGAGCAGAUCAAAGAAUGGGAGGAGGCUGAGAUGGACAAGCCAAUGGAAAUUGAUCAGAUCCGAAUAGAUCCCUCCCCUUUCCAGCUAGUGGAGAGGACAUCAUUACACAAGACCCACACUCUCUUCUCAUUACUGGGCCUGAGUCAUGCCUAUGUCACCAGUAUCGGAAAACUGGUGGGUGUUGUUGCACUUAAAGAGCUGCAAAAGGCCAUCGAGGGCUCCACCCGUAGCGGGGUCCGGCUACGUCCCCCUCUGGCCAGCUUCAGCAACACCAGCCGAAAGUCAUCCAAACCCCAGGCAACCUCCGCUCCCUCCUCCCCGACCACCCCCUCCUCCCCUCUCUCCCAGGCUCCCAUCUUCCCCCAUGCCACUGCCCCGCCACCUCCCCCGACACAGGAGGAGAUGGAGGUGUGGAUCGAGGGCACGAGGCGGGAGGUGGCAGAGGUGAACAGCAGCAGUAGUAGUAGCAGCAGCGGAACGGGGAGCAGCAGUAGCAACAGUAGCCCCUCACUACCCCACUCCUUGCCCCUCUCCAUCCCCCUCACCUCGCCCCUCUCCAUGCCCCUCACCGUUGCUCUCUCCAUCCCCCUCGCCGCCUUCUCCUCUCCCCUCACCGCCCUCCGGCCUGUCGCAAAGCAGCAAGUGGAGGAGGAGAGUGAAGAUGAGCAGCCCAUCUAGCCUUAUAGACGAGUGAUGUUUUUUUAUAACGUUUUUUUUUAUGGUGUGAAUUUCUCUUUUAGUCUUUCUCUAUCCCUCCAUCUUCUCUCUCUCCCUAUUGCCCUUUCCCUCUUUCGCUCUCUCGCUGUUCCUUCUCGCACCCUCUUUCUUCACUCGAUGAAUGAUGUCUGUGAAUCCACGAGGAGAAAUAAUCUGGGCUCGAUAGUAGUACUUGACCUUUUAAGAUUAGAAUUGAUGUCAUUGGUUUUUAAACAGGAGACAAUGGCUACCAGUGGUGCUCCAAGAGCUAAAAAAUCAACAAGGCCCCAAAACGACCUUUACUAAACCCAUCCUCACCUUGGGAGGGAGUUUUAUGAUCACCAUGCUGGGUUGAUAGAUGACAGUGUUAAAUCAGACUGACGACAGCCAACUCAGAUGUAAUGAUGCUAGAGGUUUUUUACUUAAUGAUGCCAUGACUCCAGCUGAACAACCGCCAUCCCCCUCUGUAAUUUAGAUUAAUCGCUCACUUGAUGAUAACGCAAAACAAACACAUACUUGAUGACAUUAUUAUGAAACUUGGUGACUUUUACGUUGGUGACUUUUCCUACCUCCACAAAAAAAGCUGGGUUGUGUUCAUUAGGCACCAGAUGGAGAUAAACGGACUGAAACAAGGGGGAGUACCUCGACCUUGGCCAAUAAGAAAGGCGCAUUUUAGUUUUACACUGCGAAACAUUGUAAAACAUUACCCUUUGCAUGCCCUAAUAAACUAAACCCUAAUGUUCUUCUGACA
rnacentral:lncRNA from 1 species